GAUGAACGCUAGCUACAGGCUUAACACAUGCAAGUCGAGGGGAAACGAUAUUGGAAGCUUGCUUCCGAUAGGCGUCGACCGGCGCACGGGUGAGUAACGCGUAUCCAACCUGCCCACCACUUGGGGAUAACCUUGCGAAAGUAAGACUAAUACCCAAUGAUAUCUCUAGAAGACAUCUGAAGGAGAUUAACGAUUUAUCGGUGAUGGAUGGGGAUGCGUCUGAUUAGCUUGUUGGCGGGGUAACGGCCCACCAAGGCGACGAUCAGUAGGGGUUCUGGGAGGAAGGUCCCCCACAUUGGAACUGAGACACGGUCCAAACUCCUACGGGAGGCAGCAGUGAGGAAUAUUGGUCAAUGGGCGAGAGCCUGAACCAGCCAAGUAGCGUGCAGGAUGACGGCCCUAUGGGUUGUAAACUGCUUUUAUAAGGGAAUAAAGUGAGUCUCGUGAGACUUUUUGCAUGUACCUUAUGAAUAAGGACCGGCUAAUUCCGUGCCAGCCGCCGCCGUAA
rnacentral:rRNA from 1 species